CCUUGAAAUGGUAAUUGCUGUUAUUUCUUAUUUUUGUAGAUGAGGAGAUUGAAACUUAGAAAAGUUUUAUAACUUGACCAAAGCCAUAAAGCCAAAGUAUGGUAGAAGUGAGAUGAGAAUCUCUGUCUGCAUCCAGAGCCCAUGCCCUGCCUAAUAUUCAGACUGUGGGUCCUGCAGAAGUUGGACAGAAGCCAGCUGCCAUUAUCUGUGCCUACGGGAGGGAGGACUGUGUGUCCCUAGGAAAGCCUGUUGUGGUUUCUGCUGCCUGUCCACCCUUUGGCUCCCACCAUCGGAAGGAAAGCUCUGUCAGCACUCUGCCUGGCUGACUCAGGAUUCCCAUCUGCUGGUGACAAAGAGGUGCAGCAAAAACGAUCCCUUUUUGACCACUUCUCUUCCUGCUGCAAUUUCCAGGAAUCUAGUGUAGCAAAGGUGACUGUCCAUGAGUGUUCCUAUGGCCUUGCUGUUGUUUGGGUGUUUGCUAACAUCCUCAUACUAUCUCCGGAUGCAGAGUGGAGUGUAGAGGGGCCAAGCAUGUUCAGCAGUGUCCACGAAGUGGAAACCACUGAGCAGAGGCCAGGGCUGGACCUGGGCCAGACAGAAGUGUGGAGUAACAGUGCCUGAGCUAGGGGAGGGGAGGGCAACCCGGAACUCAACAUGGUGCUUUCCUCUGUUGGUCACUGUGGACUCACCAGCGAUAGUACGGUGCUGGACACCACCUGUGCUACCGGGUGAGUGUCCCUUAUCUGAAAUGUGUGGGACAAGAGGUGUUUCAGAUUUGGGUUUUUUUUUUCAGGUUUUGGAAUGUUUGCAU
rnacentral:lncRNA from 1 species